rnacentral:rRNA from 1 species
GACGAACGCUGGCGGAGGGAGGAACACAUGCAAGUCGAACGGAAAGGCCCUGCUUUUGUGGGGUGCUCGAGUGGCGAACGGGUGAGUAACACGUGAGUAACCUGCCCUUGACUUUGGGAUAACUUCAGGAAACUGGGGCUAAUACCGGAUAGGAGCUCCUGCUGCAUGGUGGGGGUUGGACAGUUUCGGCGGUUGGGGAUGGACUCGCGGCUUAUCAGCUUGUUGGUGGGGUAGUGGCUUACCAAGGCUUUGACGGGUAGCCGGCCUGAGAGGGUGACCGGCCACAUUGGGACUGAGAUACGGCCCAGACUCCUACGGGAGGCAGCAGUGGGGAAUAUUGCACAAUGGGCGGAAGCCUGAUGCAGCAACGCCGCGUGCGGGAUGACGGCCUUCGGGUUGUAAACCGCUUUCGCCUGUGACGAAGCGUGAGUGACGGUAAUGGGUAAAGAAGCACCGGCUAACUACGUG